AUCAUUGUGCCGAUUUGCUGUGACGCUGCGUGUGUGUUGCAUCUUUGUCAGUGUUUUUGCAAUGCAUGUCCCCAACAAAUCCAGGCGCUGUCAUGCCGCUCGCAAUGGAAAGACGAGUGUGCCUGGAGGCCAGGGUGAACCAGUCAGAAGAAGACAAGGCCAUGAGAAACAGUCGCCUCGCAUACGUUUGCAGGGCUGAGAAGCUAUUAAAAUGUGACAGAAAGACAAACAUGGCGGGGGCUCCGAGUCGCUGCAGCACAGCUGAGAGCCAUCCAAGCCGCUGAUGGAGUUUCCAGCGAAUCUCUUCUCGGCUUUCCGACGGCCUUCCAAAGAGCAACAACAGCCCCUGUCUCUUUCCUGGCGCUGACCGCUAACCUGGGGGGGGGCGAACCAGAGUCAAACCCAGCAGGGGAGCUUCUACACGUCAAGAAGUGAUGGAGGCAAGCCACUGUCCUCCGCCAUACUUCUCCACCACCUCCAACGCAUCCCGCGUGUUACCUCACCGUGAUGUGGGCCUCCGCGUUUCGGCGCGCCGCCGCGGCAACACGCUGCCAUAUAAAGACAGGUAUUCGCACUUAGCGCAAAGCGCUGCACAGUGUUCAAAAGCAGACAGGACGCCACUGAAAUGAUGCAGUGAAAAGUCGCACUUUUGAACAAGGGCCAUGAAAGGUACACGUUCCGUGGAGUGCUUUUUUUUUUUCCAUUGGGUGUUUUUUUGUCAGAUACAAUGAAAAAAAGAUGCAUGAAAUCCAAAUAAAAUCCAAACAAAAGUCUUCAAUUUCAAUAAAUAGAAAUCCUAGAUUUCAUUACUUGAUGGCUUUAAUGCACUCAAGGUAUAAUAAACAUUCAAACCAUAAAAAAUGACAUGAUAGUAAACAAAUAAAUGAUUAAAUACUCAUUUGAAUAAGCAUGAAAUAUAAUUAAGAGUGACUAAAACAACAAACACAGUGUGGUGACAUGAUGUCCAUGUUGUGGGGAGAAAUGUGUCUUAUUACUCUACUUCUUGCUCAUUCUGUUUCUUGAGGUUUUUUUUCUGCUUUUUUCCAAACUCCAUUUUCAGUUGACUUUUUUUGUGUUCUUCUCUAAAAAUGCUUUCACAUUGAAGGAACACUUUCUGUCCAUAAUGUCCUUCCCGUUAUGCUCUCAGUGCUGUGCUGCAGAUGUCAGAUGCCAUGCCACAAAUAAAAACAAGAGGGGGGGGGGGCACAUUUCAACAGUCAGACAGAAACAAAGGAAAUUCCAUUCAUCCAUUUUCCAUAGCGCUUGUCCUCAUCAGGAUCUUGGGUGAGCUGUCAACGAGAAACCAUUCACGUUCACGCCUGUAGACAAUUUAGUUUUUAGCGAAUAUGUUACGGCAAUGCGAGAGAUAGCCAGAAAAA